CCUACGGGGGGCAGCAGUGGGGAAUAUUGCACAAUGGGGGAAACCCUGAUGCAGCGACGCCGCGUGAGCGAUGAAGUAUUUCGGUAUGUAAAGCUCUAUCAGCAGGGAAGAAACUGACGGUACCUGACUAAGAAGCACCGGCUAAAUACGUGCCAGCAGCCGCGGUAAUACGUAUGGUGCAAGCGUUAUCCGGAUUUACUGGGUGUAAAGGGAGCGUAGACGGACUUGCAAGUCUUAAGUGAAAGCCCGGGGCUCAACCCCGGGACUGCUUUGGAAACUGUAGGUCUAGAGUGCUGGAGAGGUAAGUGGAAUUCCUAGUGUAGCGGUGAAAUGCGUAGAUAUUAGGAGGAACACCAGUGGCGAAGGCGGCUUACUGGACAGUAACUGACGUUGAGGCUCGAAAGCGUGGGGAGCAAACAGGAUUAGAUACCCGGGUAGUC
rnacentral:rRNA from 1 species